rnacentral:rRNA from 1 species
CAGGAUGAACGCUAGCUACAGGCUUAACACAUGCAAGUCGAGGGGCAGCAUUGGAGUAGCAAUACUCAGAUGGCGACCGGCGCACGGGUGAGUAACACGUAUCCAACCUGCCGCUUACUCGGGGAUAGCCUUUCGAAAGAAAGAUUAAUACCCGAUGGUAUAAAGAGUUCGCAUGUUCUCUUUAUUAAAGAAUUUCGGUAAGCGAUGGGGAUGCGUUCCAUUAGAUAGUUGGCGGGGUAACGGCCCACCAAGUCUACGAUGGAUAGGGGUUCUGAGAGGAAGGUCCCCCACAUUGGAACUGAGACACGGUCCAAACUCCUACGGGAGGCAGCAGUGAGGAAUAUUGGUCAAUGGACGAGAGUCUGAACCAGCCAAAGUAGCGUGAAGGAUGACUGCCCUAUGGGUUGUAAACUUCUUUUAUAAGGGAAUAAAGUGAGGGACGUGUCCCUUUUUGUAUGUACCUUAUGAAUAAGGAUCGGCUAACUCCGUGCCAGCCGCGGC